CUACAGGCUUAACACAUGCAAGUCGAGGGGCAGCAUGGUCUUAGCUUGCUAAGGCCGAUGGCGACCGGCGCACGGGUGAGUAACACGUAUCCAACCUGCCGUCUACUCUUGGACAGCCUUCUGAAAGGAAGAUUAAUACAAGAUGGCAUCAUGAGUCCGCAUGUUCACAUGAUUAAAGGUAUUCCGGUAGACGAUGGGGAUGCGUUCCAUUAGAUAGUAGGCGGGGUAACGGCCCACCUAGUCUUCGAUGGAUAGGGGUUCUGAGAGGAAGGUCCCCCACAUUGGAACUGAGACACGGUCCAAACUCCUACGGGAGGCAGCAGUGAGGAAUAUUGGUCAAUGGGCGAGAGCCUGAACCAGCCAAGUAGCGUGAAGGAUGACUGCCCUAUGGGUUGUAAACUUCUUUUAUAAAGGAAUAAAGUCGGGUAUGGAUACCCGUUUGCAUGUACUUUAUGAAUAAGGAUCGGCUAACUCCGUGCCAGCAGCCGCGGUAAUACGGAGGAUCCGAGCGUUAUCCGGAUUUAUUGGGUUUAAAGGGAGCGUAGAUGGAUGUUUAAGUCAGUUGUGAAAGUUUGCGGCUCAACCGUAAAAUUGCAGUUGAUACUGGAUAUCUUGAGUGCAGUUGAGGCAGGCGGAAUUCGUGGUGUAGCGGUGAAAUGCUUAGAUAUCACGAAGAACUCCGAUUGCGAAGGCAGCCUGCUAAGCUGCAACUGACAUUGAGGCUCGAAAGUGUGGGUAUCAAACAGGAUUAGAUACCCUGGUAGUCCACACGGUAAACGAUGAAUACUCGCUGUUUGCGAUAUACUGCAAGCGGCCAAGCGAAAGCGUUAGGUAUUCCACCUGGGGAGUACGCCGGCAACGGUGAAACUCAAAGGAAUUGACGGGGGCCCGCACAAGCGGAGGAACAUGUGGUUUAAUUCGAUGAUACGCGAGGAACCUUACCCGGGCUUAAAUUGCAGAUGAAUUACGGUGAAAGCCGUAAGCCGCAAGGCAUCUGUGAAGGUGCUGCAUGGUUGUCGUCAGCUCGUGCCGUGAGGUGUCGGCUUAAGUGCCAUAACGAGCGCAACCCUUGUUGUCAGUUACUAACAGGUUCCGCUGAGGACUCUGACAAGACUGCCAUCGUAAGAUGUGAGGAAGGUGGGGAUGACGUCAAAUCAGCACGGCCCUUACGUCCGGGGCUACACACGUGUUACAAUGGGGGGUACAGAGGGCCGCUACCACGCGAGUGGAUGCCAAUCCCCAAAACCUCUCUCAGUUCGGACUGGAGUCUGCAACCCGACUCCACGAAGCUGGAUUCGCUAGUAAUCGCGCAUCAGCCACGGCGCGGUGAAUACGUUCCCGGGCCUUGUACACACCGCCCGUCAAGCCAUGGGAGCCGGGGGUACCUGAAGUGCGUAACCGCGAGGAGCGCCCUAGGGUAAAACUGGUGACUGGGGCUAAGUCAU
rnacentral:rRNA from 1 species